rnacentral:rRNA from 1 species
GAUGAACGCUAGCGACAGGCUUAACAUAUGCAAGUCGAGGGGCAGCGGGGGUAGCAAUACCCGCCGGCGACCGGCGCACGGGUGAGUAACGCGUAUGCAACUUACCUAUCAGAGGGGGAUAACCCGGCGAAAGUCGGACUAAUACCGCAUGAAGCAGGGGCCCCGCAUGGGGAUAUUUGCUAAAGAUUCAUCGCUGAUAGAUAGGCAUGCGUUCCAUUAGGCAGUUGGCGGGGUAACGGCCCACCAAACCGACGAUGGAUAGGGGUUCUGAGAGGAAGGUCCCCCACAUUGGUACUGAGACACGGACCAAACUCCUACGGGAGGCAGCAGUGAGGAAUAUUGGUCAAUGGCCGAGAGGCUGAACCAGCCAAGUCGCGUGAGGGAUGAAGGUUCUAUGGAUCGUAAACCUCUUUUAUAAGGGAAUAAAGUGCGGGACGUGUCCCGUUUUGUAUGUACCUUAUGAAUAAGGAUCGGCUAACUCCGUGCCAGCAGCCGCGGUAAUACGGAGGAUCCGAGCGUUAUCCGGAUUUAUUGGGUUUAAAGGGUGCGUAGGCGGCCUUUUAAGUCAGCGGUGAAAGUCUGUGGCUCAACCAUAGAAUUGCCGUUGAAACUGGGGGGCUUGAGUAUGUUUGAGGCAGGCGGAAUGCGUGGUGUAGCGGUGAAAUGCAUAGAUAUCACGCAGAACCCCGAUUGCGAAGGCAGCCUGCCAAGCCAUUACUGACGCUGAUGCACGAAAGCGUGGGGAUCAAACAGGAUUAGAUACCCUGGUAGUCCACGCAGUAAACGAUGAUCACUAGCUGUUUGCGAUACACUGUAAGCGGCACAGCGAAAGCGUUAAGUGAUCCACCUGGGGAGUACGCCGGCAACGGUGAAACUCAAAGGAAUUGACGGGGGCCCGCACAAGCGGAGGAACAUGUGGUUUAAUUCGAUGAUACGCGAGGAACCUUACCCGGGUUUGAACGCAUUCGGACCGAGGUGGAAACACCUUUUCUAGCAAUAGCCGUUUGCGAGGUGCUGCAUGGUUGUCGUCAGCUCGUGCCGUGAGGUGUCGGCUUAAGUGCCAUAACGAGCGCAACCCUUGCCACUAGUUACUAACAGGUGAUGCUGAGGACUCUGGUGGGACUGCCAGCGUAAGCUGCGAGGAAGGCGGGGAUGACGUCAAAUCAGCACGGCCCUUACAUCCGGGGCGACACACGUGUUACAAUGGCGUGGACAAAGGGAGGCCACCUGGCGACAGGGAGCGAAUCCCCAAACCACGUCUCAGUUCGGAUCGGAGUCUGCAACCCGACUCCGUGAAGCUGGAUUCGCUAGUAAUCGCGCAUCAGCCAUGGCGCGGUGAAUACGUUCCCGGGCCUUGUACACACCGCCCGUCAAGCCAUGGGAGCCGGGGGUACCUGAAGUCCGUAACCGAAAGGAUCGGCCUAGGGUAAAACUGGUGACUGGGGCU